rnacentral:rRNA from 1 species
UACGAAGGGGGCGAGCGUUGUUCGGAAUCACUGGGCGUAAAGGGCGCGUAGGCGGCCCUCUUAGUCGCGUGUGAAAGCCCCGGGCUCAACCUGGGAACGGCGCGCGAAACGGGAGGGCUGGAGUUCGGGAGAGGAGAGUGGAAUUCCCAGUGUAGAGGUGAAAUUCGUAGAUAUUGGGAAGAACACCGGUGGCGAAGGCGGCUCUCUGGACCGAGACUGACGCAUGAGGCGGCGAAAGCGUGGGGAGCAACAGGAUAG